CCCCCCGUAGCUCAGCAGGAUAGAGCAACCCUCUCCUAAAGGGUAGGUCGCUGGUUCGACUCCAGUCGGGGGGA
rnacentral:tRNA from 5 species